GACGAACGCUGGCGGCGUGCCUAAUACAUGCAAGUCGAACGCUUCUUUCCUCCCGAGUGCUUGCACUCAAUUGGAAAGAGGAGUGGCGGACGGGUGAGUAACACGUGGGUAACCUACCCAUCAGAGGGGGAUAACACUUGGAAGCAGGUGCUAAUACCGCAUAACAGUUUAUGCCGCAUGGCAUAAGAGUGAAAGGCGCUUUCGGGUGUCGUUGAUGGAUGGACCCGCGGUGCAUUAGCUAGUUGGUGAGGUAACGGCUCACCAAGGCCACGAUGCAUAGCCGACCUGAGAGGGUGAUCGGCCACACUGGGACUGAGACACGGCCCAGACUCCUACGGGAGGCAGCAGUAGGGAAUCUUCGGCAAUGGACGAAAGUCUGACCGAGCAACGCCGCGUGAGUGAAGAAGGUUUUCGGAUCGUAAAACUCUGUUGUUAGAGAAGAACAAGGACGUUAGUAACUGAACGUCCCCUGACGGUAUCUAACCAGAAAGCCACGGCUAACUACGUG
rnacentral:rRNA from 1 species